CCCUUAGAUGUUCUGGGCUGCACGCGCGCUACACUGAAGCUAUCAACACGUUUUCCCUCCCUGAGAAGGGCGGGUAACCUUUUGAAUCAGCUUCGUGGUAGGGAUCGGGGCUUGCAAUUGUUCCCCGUGAACCAGGAAUUCCUAGUAGACGCGAGUCAUAAGCUCGCAUCGAUUAAGUCCCUGCCCUUUGUACACCCCGCCCGUCGCUACUACCGAUUGAACGUUUUAGUGAGGCAUUUGGACCGACGCAUCUCAGUUUAACCGCUGGUUUGUGUUGGAAAGACUUCCAAACUUGAGCGUUUAGAGGAAGUAAAAGUCGUAACA
rnacentral:rRNA from 1 species